UGGAUGUCGCUGCAAGCAGGGGUGUAUCUAUCACAAGGCAAACAAGGGAUUUGCCUAGGGCGGCACUUGCCAAUGGGGCGGCAAAAUGCCUUGUUUGCUUAGUGAUAGUUACACAAUAUGCUAAAUAUUUUUUUUGGCCCUUGUCCGAUCCGAUCGUUCACUAUGCGAGCAGCAUCGCCGGCGCCACAUAGUGAAGG